UUUUUUUAAAAAAACAUCGAAAUCUCUAAACAAGAAGGGCACCUUUGAUGUUAAUUUAGUAUUUACAGAGACAUUAGCUUGUACAAAAAGGGCACUUUUCAUCACAAAAAGGGACACUUUUCGUCCUUUGAAACAAUUUGGGAGGGAGGGCACGCGCUCCCUCUGCCCCCCUCUUCCUACGCCCCUGAUUCUAAGACCACUUGAUCCCGAGAUUGAAGGCUUUAUGUAGAUGAACAUUUCGAGUGGAAGAUUCAUAUAUAAUUUAGACCUAUAACCAGCUGCGGAAAAUAGAACUAUAGCAGGAAUCGAACCUACGACCCGCAAUUCCGUUGCAGUGCUCUAACCAACUGAGUUAUAGAGUUCAGUUGUCGAGCUCCAACCACAAGCUCUUGUUUAUAUACAGUAUAUAGUACAGGUGAUGCCAUUAUAUAAAAUAUGAACAGAUUGAAAGAUUUAUGUAGCAUGGAAAUUUCAAGCACAAAUUUCAAGAAAAAUCCCAAGCGCAAAUUCAGAUUUACAGCGUCAUAUUCCCAAAAAUCUCUAUAUUUAGCCACAGGUUCGAUUCCUGUCAGAUGACAGCAUUUUCGCAGCUGCUCCUGUAGUUAAGUCUGUAGUUAAGUCUAAAAUUGUAUAUAUUGAAUCUUUCGUUAUAAAUUUCCAUCUACUGCAUGCAGGAUCGCCGGGAGAGAGGCAGAGUGGAACUUUAUCUCGGGCGGGGCUCGCAAAACAAGGGAUCGACCCUUAAAAUUUACUGAUGCAAGAUUGAUGAACUCAGAAUAUAAAUCCCAGUACCCAGAUGAAUAAUACAUCUAAAAAUCUCAAAAAAUUAAGAAAAUUGUUGGCAAAAAAUAAACGAUUUUAUGUCCGCAAAAUUUUUUCCGGCACCAAAUUUCCGGCGCCAAUUUUCCGGCGCCAUAUGUCGUGAAAAUUUUUUAAUCAAGGUUAUACGUAUAGUGUAAUUUCUGAGCAUGAGUUCCACAUUUGAAUUUUACAAUACGAGUAAAUUGUUAAACGCGUCCGAAUUUAUCAACAUGAUAAAUGCCAAAUUCGCGGCACCUAACCCUUAACCUUAAUUUUGUGUUACACAGCUUCGAUCAUGUUAUAUAUACCCAUUAUCAGUAACCUUGCCCGCUCAUUCAAGUGCUACAGUAUGUAUAUCUAUAUUGAAAAGAAAAUCAAUCCAAAAAUAAAAAAAAAUAAAAAAAUACAAAAAUCAAAAAAUACAAAAAUCAAAAAAUCAAAAAAUCAAAAAAUACAAAAAUCAAAAAAUCAAAAAAUACAAAAAUCAAAAAAUCAAAAAAUCAAAAAAUACAAAAAUCAAAAAAUAAAAAAAUAAAAAAGUCAAAAAAUACAAAAAUCAAAAAAUACAAAAACUGUUUUUGUGCUGUCGCGUCUGGGCCACCGUAUGAUU